rnacentral:tRNA from 1 species
GCGGAAGUAGCUCAGGGGUAGAGCACAACCUUGCCAAGGUUGGGGUCGCGGGUUCGAAUCCCGUCUUCCGCU